rnacentral:rRNA from 2 species
UUAAGUUAGAAAGGGCGCACGGUGAAUGCCUUGGCACUAGGAGCCGAUGAAGGACGGGACUAACACCGAUAUGCUUCGGGGAGCUGUAAGUGAGCUUUGAUCCGGAGAUUUCCGAAUGGGGAAACCCACUGUUCGUAAUGGAACAGUAUCUUUAUCUGAAUACAUAGGAUAUUGAAGGCAGACCCGGGGAACUGAAACAUCUAAGUACCCGGAGGAAGAGAAAGCAAAUGCGAUUUCCUGAGUAGCGGCGAGCGAAACGGAAUUAGCCCAAACCAAGAGGCUUGCCUCUUGGGGUUGUAGGACACUCUAUACGGAGUUACAAAGGAACGAAGUAAAUGAAGCGACCUGGAAAGGUCCGUCAAAGAAGGUAACAACCCUGUAGUUGAAACUUCGUUCCCUCUUGAGUGGAUCCUGAGUACGGCGGAACACGUGAAAUUCCGUCGGAAGCUGGGAGGACCAUCUCCCAAGGCUAAAUACUACCUAGUGACCGAUAGUGAACCAGUACCGUGAGGGAAAGGUGAAAAGCACCCCGGAAGGGGAGUGAAAGAGAUCCUGAAACCGUGUGCCUACAAGUAGUCAGAGCCCGUUAACGGGUGAUGGCGUGCCUUUUGUAGAAUGAACCGGCGAGUUACGAUCCCAUGCAAGGUUAAGCUGAUAAGGCGGAGCCGUAGCGAAAGCGAGUCUGAAUAGGGCGUUUAGUAUGUGGUUGUAGACCCGAAACCAGGUGAUCUACCCAUGUCCAGGGUGAAGUUCAGGUAACACUGAAUGGAGGCCCGAACCCACGCACGUUGAAAAGUGCGGGGAUGAGGUGUGGGUAGCGGAGAAAUUCCAAUCGAACCUGGAGAUAGCUGGUUCUCUCCGAAAUAGCUUUAGGGCUAGCCUCAUGUUGUGAGAGUCUUGGAGGUAGAGCACUGAUUGGACUAGGGGCCCCCAACGGGUUACCGAAUUCAGUCAAACUCCGAAUGCCAAAGACUUAUCCAUGGGAGUCAGACUGCGAGUGAUAAGAUCCGUAGUCAAAAGGGAAACAGCCCAGACCACCAGCUAAGGUCCCCAAGUAUACGUUAAGUGGAAAAGGAUGUGGAGUUGCUUAGACAACCAGGAUGUUGGCUUAGAAGCAGCCACCAUUUAAAGAGUGCGUAAUAGCUCACUGGUCGAGUGACUCUGCGCCGAAAAUUUACCGGGGCUAAACGUAUCACCGAAGCUGUGGAUUGACAUCUUUGAUGUCAGUGGUAGGAGAGCGUUCUAAGUGCAGCGAAGUCAGACCGUAAGGACUGGUGGAGCGCUUAGAAGUGAGAAUGCCGGUAUGAGUAGCGAAAGACAAGUGAGAAUCUUGUCCACCGAAUGCCUAAGGUUUCCUGAGGAAGGCUCGUCCGCUCAGGGUUAGUCGGGACCUAAGCCGAGGCUGAAAAGCGUAGGCGAUGGCCAACAGGUUGAUAUUCCUGUACCACCUCCCCGCCGUUUGAGUAAUGGGGGGACGCAGUAGGAUAGGGUAAGCGCGCUGCUGGAUAUGCGCGUUCAAGCAGUUAGGCUGAUGAGUAGGCAAAUCCGCUCAUCAUAAAGGCUGAGCUGUGAUGACGAGGGAAUUAUAGUACCGAAGUUCCUGAUUCCACACUGCCAAGAAAAGCCUCUAGCGAGGCGGGAGGUGCCCGUACCGCAAACCGACACAGGUAGGCGAGGAGAGAAUCCUAAGGUGAUCGAGAGAACUCUCGUUAAGGAACUCGGCAAAAUGACCCCGUAACUUCGGGAGAAGGGGUGCUCUGGUAGGGUGUAUAGCCCGAGAGAGCCGCAGUGAAUAGGCCCAGGCGACUGUUUAGCAAAAACACAGGUCUCUGCGAAGCCGCAAGGCGAAGUAUAGGGGCUGACGCCUGCCCGGUGCUGGAAGGUUAAGAGGAGGGGUUAUCCUUUGGGAGAAGCUCUGAAUCGAAGCCCCAGUAAACGGCGGCCGUAACUAUAACGGUCCUAAGGUAGCGAAAUUCCUUGUCGGGUAAGUUCCGACCCGCACGAAAGGCGUAACGAUCUGGGCACUGUCUCAACGAGAGACUCGGUGAAAUUAUAGUACCUGUGAAGAUGCAGGUUACCCGCGACAGGACGGAAAGACCCCGUGGAGCUUUACUGUAGCCUGAUAUUGAAUUUUGGUACAGCUUGUACAGGAUAGGUAGGAGCCUGAGAAGCCGGAGCGCUAGCUUCGGUGGAGGCGUCGGUGGGAUACUACCCUGGCUGUAUUGAAAUUCUAACCCGCGGCCCUGAUCGGGCCGGGAGACAGUGUCAGGUGGGCAGUUUGACUGGGGCGGUCGCCUCCUAAAAUGUAACGGAGGCGCCCAAAGGUUCCCUCAGAAUGGUUGGAAAUCAUUCGUAGAGUGUAAAGGCACAAGGGAGCUUGACUGCGAGACCUACAAGUCGAGCAGGGACGAAAGUCGGGCUUAGUGAUCCGGUGGUUCCGCAUGGAAGGGCCAUCGCUCAACGGAUAAAAGCUACCCCGGGGAUAACAGGCUUAUCUCCCCCAAGAGUCCACAUCGACGGGGAGGUUUGGCACCUCGAUGUCGGCUCAUCGCAUCCUGGGGCUGUAGUCGGUCCCAAGGGUUGGGCUGUUCGCCCAUUAAAGCGGUACGCGAGCUGGGUUCAGAACGUCGUGAGACAGUUCGGUCCCUAUCCGUCGUGGGCGUAGGAAAUUUGAGAGGAGCUGUCCUUAGUACGAGAGGACCGGGAUGGACACACCGCUGGUGUACCAGUUGUCUUGCCAAAGGCAUCGCUGGGUAGCUAUGUGUGGACGGGAUAAGUGCUGAAAGCAUCUAAGCAUGAAGCCCCCCUCAAGAUGAGAUUUCCCAUAGCGCAAGCUAGUAAGAUCCCUGAAAGAUGAUCAGGUUGAUAGGUCAGAGGUGGAAGCGUGGCGACAUGUGUAGCUGACUGAUACUAAUCGAUCGAGGACUUAACCAA